GCAAACUUGGUCAUUUAGAGGAAGUAAAAGUCGUAACAAGGUCUCCGUUGGUGAACCAGCGGAGGGAUCAUUACCGAGUUUACAACUCCCAAACCCAAAUGUGAACCCAUACCAGUCGUUGCUUCGGCGGUACCGCCCCGGCGCCCUCGGGCCCGGAACCAGGCGCCCGCCGGAGGCCCGCAAACUCUCCGUGUAUACCGUCCCACCGGUGGCAUCAUCUGAGUACUACAAAAAAACGAAUCAAAACUUUCAACAACGGAUCUCUUGGUUCUGGCAUCGAUGAAGAACGCAGC
rnacentral:misc_RNA from 1 species